rnacentral:tRNA from 1 species
GGAGUUGGUAGCUCAGCGGUAGAGGGCAUGCUUUGUAUCUAUGAUGUCCUGGGUUCAAUCCCCAGGUCGCCG